rnacentral:rRNA from 1 species
GACGAACGCUGGCGGCGUGCUUAACACAUGCAAGUCGAACGAAGUGGCGAACGGGUGAGUAACGCGUAAGCAACAUGCACUUCAGCGGUGGACAACAGUUGGAAACGACUGCUAAUACCGCAUACUGAAGGAGGUGAUUGCGUCGGAUUAGCUAGUUGGCGGGGUAACGGCCCACCAAGGCGAUGAUCAGUAGCCGGUCUGAGAGGAGGAACGGCCACAUGGGGACUGAGACACGGCCCAGACUCCUACGGGAGGCAGCAGUGGGGAAUCUUCCGCAAUGGACGAAAGUCUGACGGAGCAACGCCGCGUGAGUGAUGACGGCCUUCGGGUUGUAAAGCUCUGUUAAUCGGGACGCGGUACCGGAAUAGAAAGCCACGGCUAACUACGUGCCAGCCGCCGCGGUAAUUC